rnacentral:lncRNA from 1 species
CUGCAGUAUUUAUUUUAUUUUUAUAUUAUUUAUUUAUUCUUUGUUUUUGGAGUGUGGGUUUUGUUUUGUUUUUUGAUUUUUUUAUUUUGUUCUACUCAGUUUUAUUCUUAUUGCUCAGGCUUGAGUGCAAUGGCCUGUUCUCACCUAAUUCAACCUCCGCCUCUUGGGUUCGGGUAAUGAUGGUUCCACGUCGGCAGCCCUCGGCCUCUUGGGUUUGCGUGGCAGUUCCACGUCACCGACCCUCCGCCUCUUGGGUUCGGGUGAUGAUGGUUCAAUGUCAGCUGCCCUCCGCCUCUUGGGUUUGCGAGGCGGUUCCGCGUCAGCGGCGCUCCGCCUCUCGGGUUUCGGCGACGGCUGCGCGUCAGCAGUGGCGCUCCGCCUCUCGGGUUUCGGCGACGGCUGCGCAUCAGCGGCGCUCCGCCUCUCGGGUUUCGGCGACAGCUGCGCGUCAGCGGCGCUCCGCCUCUCGGGUUUCGAUGAUGGCUGCGUGUCAGCGGCGCUCCGCCUCUCGGGUUCCGGUGGUGAUUCCAGGUCAGCGGCGCUCCGCCUCUCGGGUUUCGGCGACGGCUGCGCAUCAGCGGCGCUCCGCCUCUCGGGUUUCGGCGACAGCUGCGCGUCAGCGGCGCUCCGCCUCUCGGGUUUCGAUGAUGGCUGCGUGUCAGCGGCGCUCCGCCUCUCGGGUUCCGGUGGUGAUUCCAGGUCAGCGGCGCUCCGCCUCUCGGGUUUCGGCGACGGCUGCGCGUCAGCGGCGCUCCGCCUCUCAGGUUUCGGCGACGGCUGCGAGUCAGCGGCGCUCCGCCUCUCGGGUUUCAAUGACGGCUGCGCGUCAGCGGCCCUCCGCCUCUCGGGUUUCGGCGACGGCUGCGAGUCAGCGGCGCUCCGCCUCUCGGGUUUCGGUGGUGAUUCCAGGUCAGCGGCGCUCCGCCUCUCGGGUUUUGGUGAUGGCUGCGUGUCAGCGGCGCUCCGCCUCUCGGGUUUCGGUGGUGAUUCCAGGUCAGCGGCGCUCCACCGCUCAGGUUUCGGUGAUGGCUGCGUGUCAGCGGCGCUCCGCCUCUCGGGUUUCGGUGGUGAUUCCAGGUCAGCGGCGCUCCGCCUCUCGGGUUUCGGCGACAGCUGCGCGUCAACGGCGCUCCGCCUCUCGGGUUUCGGUGAUGGCUGCGUGUCAGCGGCGCUCCACCGCUCAGGUUUCGGUGAUGGCUGCGUGUCAGCGGCGCUCCGCCUCUCGGGUUUCGGUGGUGAUUCCAGGUCAGCGGCGCUCCGCCUCUCGGGUUUCGGCGACGGCUGCGCGUCAGCGGCGCUCCGCCUCUCGGGUUUCGGUGAUGCUUGCGCGUCAGCGGCGCUCCGCCUCUCGGGUUUCGGCGACGGCUGCGCGUCAACGGUGCUCCGCCUCUCGGGUUUCGGCGACGGCUGCGCCUCAGCGGCGCUCCGCCUCUCGGGUUUCGGCGACGGCUGCGCGUCAGCGGCGCUCCGCCUCUCGGGUUUCGGUGGUGAUUCCAGGUCAGCGGCGCUCCGCCUCUCAGGUAUCGGUGAUGGCUGCGUGUCAGCGGCGCUCCGCCUCUCAGGUGUCGGUGAUGGCUGCGUGUCAGCGGCGCUCCGCCUCUCGGGUUUCGGUGGUGAUUCCAGGUCAGCGGCGCUCCGCCCCUCGGGUUUCGGCGACGGCUGCGCGUCAGCGGCGCUCCGCCCCUCGGGUUUCGGCGACGGCUGCGCCUCAGCGGCGCUCCGCCCCUCGGGUUUCGGCGACGGCUGCGCGUCAGCGGCGCUCCGCCCCUCGGGUUUCGGCGACGGCUGCGCCUCAGCGGCGCUCCGCCCCUCGGGUUUCGGCGACGGCUGCGCCUCAGCGGCGCUCCGCCCCUCGGGUUUCGGCGACGGCUGCGCGUCAGCGGCGCUCCGCCUCUCGGGUUUCGGUGGUGAUUCCAGGUCAGCGGCCCUCCACCUCUCGGGUUUCGGUGAUGGCUGCGCGUCAGCGGCGCUCCGCCUCUCAGGUUUCGGUGAUGGCUGCGCCUCAGCGGCGCUCCGCCUCUCGGGUUUCGGUGAUGGUUGCGCGUCAGCGGCGCUCCGCCUCUCGGGUUUCGGUGGUGAUUCCAGGUCAGCGGCCCUCCGCCUCUCGGGUUUCGGUGAUGGUUGCACGUCAGCGGCGCUCCACCUCUCGGGUUUCGGUGGUGAUUCCAGGUCAGCGGCCCUCCGCCUCUCGGGUUUCGGUGAUGGUUGCGCGUCAGCGGCGCUCCGCCUCUCAGGUUUCAGUGAUGGCUGUGUGUCAGCAGCGCUCCGCCUCUCGGGUUUCAGUGAUGGCUGCGCGUCAGCGGCGCUCCGCCUCUCGGGUUUCGGUGGUGAUUCCAGGUCGGUGGCCCUCCGCCUCUCGGGUUUCGGUGAUGGUUGCGCGUCAGCGGCGCUCCGCCUCUCGGGUUUCGGUGAUGGCUGCGCGUCAGCGGCGCUCCGCCUCUCAGGUUUCGGUGAUGACUGCGCGCCAGCGGCGCUCCGCCUCUUGGGUUUCGGUGAUGGCUGCGCGUCAGCGGCGCUCCGCCUCUUGGGUUUCCGUGGCGGUUCCGCGUGAGCGACCCUCCGCCUCUUGGGUUCAGGUGAUGCUGGUUCCGCGUGAGCGACCCUCCGACUCUUGGGAUCAGGUGAUGCUGGUUCCGCGUCAGCGGCCCUCCGCUUCUUAAGUGUGCGGGGUGGUUCCGCGUCAGCGGCGCUCCGCCUCUCGGG